UACGGAGGGUGCAAGCGUUAUCCGGAAUCACUGGGUUUAAAGGGUGCGUAGGCGGUCAGAUAAGUCAGUUGUGAAAUACCCCGGCUUAACCGGCGGAACUGCGAUUGAUACUGUUUGACUUGAAUCAGGUUGAGGUAGGCGGAAUGUGGCAUGUAGCGGUGAAAUGCGCAGAUAUCAGGAAGAACACCCGUGGCUAAGGCGGCUCUCUAGUACGGUACUGACGCUGAGACGCGAAAGCGUGGGGAGCGAACAGG
rnacentral:rRNA from 1 species